UCGGGAAUUUUGGGCAAUGGGGGAAACCCUGACCCAGCAACGCCGCGUGAAGGAUGAAGUAUUUCGGUAUGUAAACUUCGAAAGAAUAGGAAGAAUAAAUGACGGUACUAUUUAUAAGGUCCGGCUAACUACGUGCCAGCAGCCGCGGUAAUACGUAGGGACCAAGCGUUAUCCGGAAUCACUGGGCGUAAAGGGUGUCGAGGCGGUUGUAUUAGUCGUUCGUAAAAUCUACGAGCUUAACUUGUAGGCGGCGAACGAAACGGUACGACUUGAGGUUUGGAGAGGUGCGUGGAACUCACGGUGUAGGGGUGAAAUCCGUUGAUAUCGUGGGGAACACCAAAGGCGAAGGCAGCGCACUGGCCAAAAUCUGACGCUCACACACGAAAGCUAGGGUAGCGAAGAGGAUUAGAUACCCACGUAGUCCCUGAGCGGGCUGGCAAGGCGCAU
rnacentral:rRNA from 1 species